GCGUCGGUGGUGCAACGGUUUAGCACAUACUCCCGGAAAGAGUAAGGUCUGGUUUCAAAUUCCGGCUAACGCA